rnacentral:rRNA from 1 species
AAUAUUGCACAAUGGAGGGAACUCUGAUGCAGCAACGCCGCGUGAGUGAAGAAGGUUUUCGGAUCGUAAAGCUCUGUCCUAAGGGAAGAAACGGACGGUACCUUAGGAGGAAGCCCCGGCUAACUACGUGCCAGCAGCCGCGGUAAUACGUAGGGGGCGAGCGUUAUCCGGAAUUAUUGGGCGUAAAGGGUGCGUAGGCGGCCUUUUAAGUCAGAUGUGAAAGCCCACGGCUUAACCGUGGGACUGCAUUUGAAACUGGAGGGCUUGAGUAUCGGAGAGGGUAGUGGAAUUCCCAGUGUAGCGGUGGAAUGCGUAGAUAUUGGGAGGAACACCAGUGGCGAAGGCGACUCACUGGCCUGUAACUGACGCUGAGGCUCGAAAGCGUGGGGAGCAAAUA